rnacentral:rRNA from 1 species
AGGGUUCGAUUAUGGCUCAGGAUGAACGCUGGCGGCGUGCUUAACACAUGCAAGUCGAACGGACCAAAGGGGCUUGCUCCUUUGGUUAGUGGCGGACGGGUGAGUAACGCGUGAGCAACCUGCCCAUAUCAGGGGAAUAACACAGUGAAAAUUGUGCUAAUACCGCAUAAGACCACGAAGCGGCAUCGCUUUGCGGUAAAAGAUUUAUCGGAUAUGGAUGGGCUCGCGUCCCAUUAGAUAGUUGGUGAGGUAACGGCCCACCAAGUCUGCGAUGGGUAGCCGACCUCAGAGGGUGAUCGGCCACAUUGGAACUGAGAAACGGUCCAG